ACUGGGGAACUUCCUAGGAACAUGCUUCUAUCAGUAGAUCGCCAUCUUGUCCAAACAAUUGUCCCAGGCACUAGAUUGACCAUCAUGGGGAUAUACAGUAUCUACCAAGCUGCCAAUUCUUCUGCAUCCCACAAAGGAGCAGUUGCAAUCAGGCAGCCUUAUAUCAGGGUUGUAGGCAUUGAAGAAUGUAAUGAAGCUAACUCUCGGGGCCCUGCAUCCUUCACAACAGAAGAUAUAGAAGAGUUCAAAAAAUUUGCAGCAGAGCCUGAUGUCUAUAAAAGCAUAUGUUCAAAGAUUGCCCCCUCUAUAUUUGGUCAUG
rnacentral:misc_RNA from 1 species